GUUUGUAACCUACCUUUAACUGGAAGAUAGCCCGAAGAAAUUCGGAUUAAUAUUCCAUAAUACUAUAGUUUGGCAUCAUUUUAUAGUUAAAGCUCCGGCGGUUAAAGAUGGGCAUGCGUAACAUUAGCUAGUUGGUGAGGUAACUGCUCACCGAGGCUACGAUGUUUAGGGGGUCUGAGAGGAUGGUCCCCCACACUGGUACUGAGACACGGACCAGACUCCUACGGGAGGCAGCAGUGAGGAAUAUUGGUCAAUGGGCGAAAGCCUGAACCAGCCAUGCCGCGUGAAGGAUGACGGCCCUAUGGGUUGUAAACUUCUUUUAUACGGGAAGAAACCGUCCUACGUGUAGGGCGUUGACGGUACCGUACGAAUAAGCAUCGGCUAACUCCGUGCCAGCAGCCGCGGUAAUACGGAGGAUGCAAGCGUUAUCCGGAUUUAUUGGGUUUAAAGGGUGCGUAGGCGGAAAUUUAAGUCAGUGAUGAAAUCCUGCGGCUCAACCGUAGAACUGUUAUUGAUACUGAAUUUCUUGAAUACAGUUGAGGUAGGCGGAAUGAGUAAUGUAGCGGUGAAAUGCUUAGAUAUUACUCAGAACACCGAUUGCGAAGGCAGCUUACUAAACUGAUAUUGACGCUGAGGCACGAAAGCGUGGGGAGCGAACAGGAUUAGAUACCCUGGUAGUCCACGCCGUAAACGAUGAUCACUCGUUGUUGGCAAUACACCGUCAGCGACUGAGGGAAAGCAUUAAGUGAUCCACCUGGGGAGUGCGAUCGCAUGAUUUAAACUCAAAGGAAUUGUCGGGGGCCCGCACAAGCGGAGGAACAUGUGGUUUAAUUUGUUGAUACGCGAGGUACCUUACCUGGGGUUAAAUGUAGAGCGACGGACCGGGAAACUGGUCUUUCUUCGGUCGAUAUACAAGGUUCUGCAUGGCUGUUGUCAGCUCGUGCUGUGAGGUGUCGGGUUAAGUCCCAUAACGAGCGCAACCCUCAUCAUUAGUUGCCAGCGGGUAAUGCCGGGGACCUUAAUGAAACUGCCGGUGUAAACUGAGAGGAAGGUGGGGAUGACGUCAAGUCAGCACGGCCUUUAUGUCCAG
rnacentral:rRNA from 1 species